UACAGGGGGUGCAAACGUUGCUCGGAAUCAUUGGGCGUAAAGCGCCCGUAGGCGGUUCGUUAUGUCGGAUGUGAAAGCCCUUGGCUUAACCGAGGAAGUGCAUCCGAAACUGGCGAGCUAGAGUACGAAAGAGGAUCGCGGAAUUCCCGGUGUAGAGGUGAAAUUCGUAGAUAUCGGGAGGAACACCGGUGGCGAAGGCGGCGAUCUGGGUCGAUACUGACGCUGAGGUGCGAAAGCGUGGGGAGCGAACAGG
rnacentral:rRNA from 1 species